UCAUCUCGCCUCCUCUCGCGGUCUCGCCCUCCAAACGCCGCCGCCGCCGCCGCCGCCGCCGCUCUCUUCGGUCUCUCUUCCCUUCUCUCCGGGAGAUCAGUUGCUGUUGUGGUGUUUUCUUCAUCUACCGUCAUCAUGCAGAACGAGGAGGGUCAGAUGGUGGACCUCUACGUCCCCAGGAAGUGCUCGACCACCAACAGGAUCAUCACCGCCAAGGACCAUGCCUCGGUCCAGAUCAACAUUGGGCAUGUGGAUGAGAAUGGGCUGUACGAUGGCCGCUUCACCACGUUUGCUCUCUCUGGGUUCAUCCGUGCUCAGGGAGACGCCGACAGUGCUCUGGAUAGGCUGUGGCAGAAGAGGAAGGCUGAGGUCAAGCAGCAGUAGAUGUUGCUACUAGUUUUACCUGUAAGAACUCGUUUCGAUUUCAUGUCUCUAGCUACUUGAUACAAUGCCUGUUAUUUCAGCUGGUACUCUGAAAGCUUUAAGGCUUGACUUUCCUGGGGUAAAUCCUGAUAAUGUGCCAUCCGAGUUGAAGCUUUUUAUCACAAAAUCUGUUUCUUGAUGCACUUUGUGG
rnacentral:lncRNA from 1 species